rnacentral:rRNA from 1 species
UACGUAGGGUGCAAGCGUUAAUCGGAAUUACUGGGCGUAAAGCGUGCGCAGGCGGCUUUGCAAGACAGAUGUGAAAUCCCCGGGCUCAACCUGGGAACUGCAUUUGUGACUGCAAGGCUAGAGUACGGCAGAGGGGAAUGGAAUUCCGCGUGUAGCAGUGAAAUGCGUAGAUAUGCGGAGGAACACCGAUGGCGAAGGCAAUCCCCUGGGCCUGUACUGACGCUCAUGCACGAAAGCGUGGGGAGCAAACAGG